rnacentral:rRNA from 1 species
AUUGAACGCUGGCGGCAUGCUUUACACAUGCAAGUCGAACGGCAGCACGGGCUUCGGCCUGGUGGCGAGUGGCGAACGGGUGAGUAAUAUAUCGGAACGUACCCAGAAGUGGGGGAUAACGUAGCGAAAGUUACGCUAAUACCGCAUACGAUCUAUGGAUGAAAGCAGGGGACCGCAAGGCCUUGUGCUCCUGGAGCGGCCGAUAUGUGAUUAGCUAGUUGGUGAGGUAAAGGCUCACCAAGGCGACGAUCAGUAGCUGGUCUGAGAGGACGACCAGCCACACUGGAACUGAGACACGGUCCAGACUCCUACGGGAGGCAGCAGUGGGGAAUUUUGGACAAUGGGCGCAAGCCUGAUCCAGCAAUGCCGCGUGAGUGAAGAAGGCCUUCGGGUUGUAAAGCUCUUUUGUCAGGGAAGAAACGGUAGAGGCUAAUAUCCUUUGCUAAUGACGGUACCUGAAGAAUAAGCACCGGCUAACUACGUG